GACGAACGCUGGCGGCGUACUUAACACAUGCAAGUCGAACGGAAAGGCCCUUCGGGGUACUCGAGUGGCGAACGGGUGAGUAACACGUGGGUGAUCUGCCCUGCACUUUGGGAUAAGCCUGGGAAACUGGGUCUAAUACCGAAUAUGAUCAUCAGCUUCAUGGUUGGUGGUGGAAAGCUUUUGCGGUGAGGGAUGGGCCCGCGGCCUAUCAGCUUGUUGGUGGGGUAAUGGCCUACCAAGGCGACGACGGGUAGCCGGCCUGAGAGGGUGACCGGCCACACUGGGACUGAGAUACGGCCCAGACUCCUACGGGAGGCAGCAGUGGGGAAUAUUGCACAAUGGGCGCAAGCCUGAUGCAGCGACGCCGCGUGAGAGAUGACGGCCUUCGGGUUGUAAACCUCUUUCAGCACAGACGAAGCGCAAGUGACGGUAUGUGCAGAAGAAGGACCGGCCAACUACGUGCCAGCCGCCGCGGUAACAC
rnacentral:rRNA from 1 species